rnacentral:rRNA from 1 species
UACGUAUGGUGCAAGCGUUAUCCGGAUUUACUGGGUGUAAAGGGAGCGCAGGCGGCGCGUUAAGCCUGGUGUGAAAGCCCGCGGCCCAACCGCGGAACUGCUUUGGAAACUGGCGAACUAGAGUGCGGGAGGGGUAAGCGGAAUUCCUAGUGUAGCGGUGAAAUGCGUAGAUAUUAGGAGGAACACCGGUGGCGAAGGCGGCUUACUGGACCGUAACUGACGUUGAGGCUCGAAAGCGUGGGGAGCAAACAGG